CCCUAAACUAAACACGCGGACACACAAACUAGGGUUUCUCAUCUCUCAUUUGGUCCGCCGCUUAUCCUCUCAUCCUCUGCUCUCUCUCUAUGGCGAUUAUCAGGCCUCUCUCUCGGAUCUCGCCAGAUCUGUGAGGAUUUCACCAUGUUCCUCUGCUCUCUCUCCCGCCGCUUCCAUGUUCCUCUCUCUCUAGCGAUUCGGGAUAUCUUUGUUCACCAGAUCUAUGAAGUUUCAACAGAUCGAUGAAGAUGGUGACGGUGGUGUUGGUCUGAAGCGGAACGAUGACGGAGAAAGGGGUUGAUUUAGGGUUUAUCCUACGGUGGUUCAAGGUGACGACGGUAGUCUUAGCAGAGGCUAAGAUUCUAGCAACAUUCAAGGUGAAAAACAAAGAUCCAGGUAUGUUUUCGUUUUACUGAUUUUGCACAGUACUGAUCGAAUUUCUAACGAAACACUUCAGGCGAUUCAAGAAGACCAAGGCGAUUCCAACCACUCGACAACCCUAAGGUUGAAAAAGAUAUUCUGUAUGCUUAGCCUUUGGUUUUCAUAUUCAAGAUUUGCUUCAAAUGAACUCAUUCCUGAUGGCUUUUUAACGUUUUUUUUUUGUUUGAAUCUUGUUCAAUAUAUGGGUGUUAAAAAGAUCUAUACUUUACUUGUUGUUUGUGGGGUUUAUAUUGAUCUUUGUUGGCCCAAUUUCUCUUGCUACCAAAGCUGGUGAUGGUAGCUGUUUGUGUAAACUCAAUUUGAGUACUUUUUAGUUUAUUUAAUUUUUUAAUCUCAGAUCUACCAAUGAUUUUUAACUUUUUAGUAUGUUUAAUUUCUUAAUGGUGUUUUAUGGUGUAGAUGAAGAUAGGGGGCGGAAGGUCGAGACAGAAAUCUGCCACAUUCAAGAUCCAACUUUACAGACUUGGAAAAUCAUGAAACAACAAACAUUAUUGCAGAAAGAUGACACACUAGGAGAAUGAAUUGGUGAAAGAGAGAACACUGCGGCUUGGUUCAAGAAAAUUCAAAUUCAGCCUUACCAUCGUCUUCCUUUAGUUUUGGCCCUAAUGAUGUUCAAGUCCAGGUCAAGGCUCUGGUUUGCGAUAGCUAUGUUCAUCACUUUAAGGAAAAUAAUUUAUGCCUAUGUUGUCAAAGACGCAAGGUGCAAAAAAAAGCGUGGGCUUUUUAAGAAAAGCGCACAUAGAGAAAAAUAUAUAAAAAAAUAUGUUAUUGGAACUUCGGUUUCCAGAUCCGGCCGGCGCAAAAAAAAGUUCAAAAGUAUAAAAUCGGGAACCAUUGUUCGAUUCGCUUUGCCACAGAAUAAACGUUGCUUGCCAUCUCAGAUUCGCUAAGCUUCUUUCUGGAACCGAAGCUUUCUGCAUGUACUUGCGAUCGUUGGGUGCUAAAAUCGGAAACCAUUGUUCGAUUCGCGCCAUUAAUCCGGUUUCAGACUCGAGGUUGAUUUCACUUGGUGCUGGUGUUCAUUUGGGUGACUUUAGCAGGAUAGCCGCUGGGUUUUAUGCGAGAACAGGUUCAAAAGUGGGAAUAUCAAAGUCGAUGAUAACGCAGUGGUUGGGAGUCAAAGCAUUUUACUUCCGGGUUCAGUUGUUGAAAACAACGUGAUUCUUGGAGCUCUUUCGGUCGCUCCAGUUGAUUCGGUUCUCAAACGGGGUGGUGUUUACAUCCGGUCUGAAACUCCUGUUAUGAUAAAGAACACCAUGCAUGAUUCUAAUAGUUGCGGUAACGAUUUGCGACGGCAACAGUGAUUGCCGGUGGCAGAAGCGAAUUCUGGGUGACAAGCUGUUUUGGAUGGUGGUGGUUGUAUACUUUUAAGAGGGUUUUGUGUUGAACUGGAGCGGGAAAUCUCUGAACUUAAAGAUUACAUGUUGCUUCCCACCAUACGAAACUCGUGGCGAAGAAAGGUGGUGUUGUCUGUGACUGUUGGUGAGUAGAGGAGUGAACAUCGGCGAUGGCAGAAGAAUAAGUCGUCGGACAAUGGCGGUGGUGUACCAGGUUGCUGAUGCUUCGAUGGCAGAUUAAGUUUUGGAGGGUUCAAGACUGUUUUGGUGUGUUUGGGUCUUGGUCAAAGCUUGGUCGACACAAAGAGCGAGACCAGUCAAAUACAGGUCAGGUUAGCUCAGUCAAAGCGGGUCGACAGGGUCAGAUCAAAGGUCAAGUGUCAUACGAUGGUAUGUCUUAUGUCCGGGUGUUUAUUAGCAUUUUGGAUGACAUACCAAAAGAGGACACUAUUGAAUAUGUGUUUGCUCUAAUUCAUGAAGAAGAUAUUUAUGAACCUUUCUCGAGAUUCACUUUCAAUUUUCUAUUUUUUUAAUAUGUUGUCAGUUACAAUUAUAUGAUUCACAAAUAGCUAUAUUAGUUCAAAUCCUUUUGCA